UCCCUGGUGGUCCAGUGGCUAAGACUCUGCAUUCCCAAAGCAGGGGGCGCGGGUUCAAUCCCUGCUCAGGGAA